rnacentral:tRNA from 1 species
GUCUUAGUGGUGUAUAAACAUAAUAAGUUGUAAACUUAAAGAUGCUACGGCCUAGGCUA